CAGUAGGGAGGAGGAAUAUAAUUUAUUCAAAAUUAAAUAAAAUAAUAUCGUUAUUUGAAAAUAAGUCUUUUUGAAUUGGGAUCAUCAUGAAUUUUAAAAUACUCAAGCUAUUCGUCACUUUUCUAACUUUGAUAGAAUUGUUUAAAUCAGAUUCCAAGAAACAAUAAAACAAUUUUUCUAGACAGCAUAAAAUACUGCAUCGCAGAGUGUCUGGGUCUGCCCAAGGUUAUCGAGGAUAAAACAUGCUCGUUCAACAGAAUGACUGGAAAAUUAAAAGGAUGUGAAGUGGGACUUCCUGUCAAGAAAAGCAAAUUCAAAGUAAUUUGCAAAUUCGAUAACGAUUAUAACAUUUCAGUACUAGUCCACGAGAAAGGCCAGCCACUGUGUGAUAUUUUAAUUUUGCCGGUGGCCGUGUUCAAAAAAGAAACAAACCUAAUGGAAAUGCAGUCUGAUAGAUGGGACAAAUGGAUUCCUACGUUCAAAUUUGCGAAAAGCUUGGGCAUGAAGUUGACCGUAAGGAUCGGCGCCUGGGACGAGUUUGUCAUGCACCCUAAGGAAAUCACCAAGAUUGCUAAGAACCCGCAGCUGACAGAAAUAUUCUCGCAAUGAGUGAUCGACCUGGUCAGCAACCACGAUUUAGACGGCAUCACCAUUUCAUGGAUGUGGCCUGGGUGUCCUCAGGCUGGCUGCAUUCCAGAUGUGGACAGAAAAACUGUUGCCAGCUUUGUGCGCGCAGUAGCAGUUCCAGUUAAAGAAAAAGGAAAAAUUGUCGUAUAUCACAUGUAUGGCGGCAUUUUGAGCACAAUAAUGGCAGCUGGGGACUAUUUCAGCGAUAUUGUUGACGUAAUAGACUAUUUCUACUUUGAAGCUCACUUUCAAAGUGGAGACUGGGAUCCAAAAACCGAUUUCAACUUUAACUUACGGAAAACUGUAAGAAACACAGUCUCAUCUCUUAAAAAUAACGUAGAAAAU